rnacentral:lncRNA from 1 species
GCCAGAAUGAGGUUUAGGGCUUCAACAUAUGAAUUACGGGGACGACACAAACAUUCAGUGUGUCGUACCACCCUAACUUCCAUCUCUACCAUAUUUAAAAAUCACUGUAUCAGUUAGCUUUUGCUGUGUAACAAACCACUCCAAAACUUAGUACCUUACAACAGCAAGCAUUUAACUAUCUCCUGAGUCUGCAAGUCUGCUGGGGGCUUGGUUCAUCCAGCAUGGCUUUUCUCACGUAUCCACAGGGUUAUGUGGCAGAUCAGCCCAGGCUUUUCUGACCUCGGUUUCUUUCACAGGUUUGGAGCCCCAGCUGGGAUGGACUGACUAACUCGGCUCUGCUUCACAGGCGCUUUUUGUAGGUAGGUGUAGCAGAUGCUGUUGGGGCCCCACCACAUCCGUUGGCACUCACCAUUCUGCUGAAGCCUUCUUGAUGCAUCUGCCUACAAAUGCAGUGGGCUGGAAGCACCCAGGAAUCAGUGUCCCCCAGGAGCAGCCCUCAACCAACUACAAAGGGUGAGACACCUCUGAAGUCCAGUCUCCAUCAUCUCCCAGAGGUUCCCAGUGGGACUGAGCUGCAGUUACCCACAGAGAUCGUCUGUGCACCGUCACCUCUGGUAUUGGCUUCUUUCCCUUCCAUGACUCACUUCUCCACUCACCUGCUUCUGGAGUGGAGUGAUGCUUCUGGGCAUCACCUCCCAAAUAAACCAUUUGCAUUUAAAUCUUUGUCUCAUAAGACAGUAAGGACUGUGUCUGAUUCGUUUCCAGAUGCUAGCACUUCAGUCCUGUUUGGUGAAGCAAGUUUAAGUUCCACCCUCUGAGGCUUCAACAAUAAGUCAAUUCCGUUCUUCUCAUGGUAGUUUUUUGUAUCAACCCAACUUUAACUCCAUUCCUUUCUGACUAACCUCCUACUCCCAAUCUUAUCUUCUCCAAAAGCUUCAUUUCCAAUUCUUUGAAAAUUCUCUCUCAUGACUUGGUUUUAGGUUUGCUCCCCAUCCUGGAUUCUAUAUUCACAUGACAUACUCAAAUGGUGGCAGUUCAAAUGUGAGCCCAGUAAUAAACUUAGUGCUUUCUCUGUGGCUGGGUGGUGUGGUAAUUGUUUCAGUCAGUGUCUUAAAUCCUUGGGGGUACCAGGUACAUGGCCAUGCUCUAUAUCUACAUGCUAAACCCUUGAGUCUUCCUAAAAUGCCUUGUGUAUACAUGCCCUUUGACGUCAAGAUGUAACAUUCAUUUAAUCAUUUGUUCAACAAACACUCACCAAGUCUACUAUGUGACAGCCUUUGGGUUAGGCUCUGGGCUUAUAAAGCUGAAAAAGACAAAUGCCUGCACUUGAAAAGUUCAGCAUAGUCUACUAAGAGACACAAUAGACACUCAAUACCUCUUUUUAGACUGAGAGAGACAGUGCAGUGUGAGCAGUGAGAUACGGCACACCGGUGGUCUCAUGGUGUGGUCCUCGGACCGGCAGCAUCAGCAUCAACUGAAGACUUGGGCAUGGGCAUUUUCAGGCCCCACGCAUUCGGGCUUACUGAACUGGAAACUCUGGCUGUGGGGCCAACAAUCUGUGUUGUAGCAGGCCCUCAGUGGUUCUGGUGCUCCCUAGAGUUUGAGAACCACUGUGACAGACAGAAGUAGAGACUUUUAUGGCAGAAGAGAGAAGGGUGUGGGUGUAUCUGAGUGUGUGUUUAUACGUGUGUGUGGAGAGUGGGGUGUCUAUACGGGGAGGAGUAAAGGAAGGCUUCCCAGGUUAGGUGAACCUGAGCGAAGUCUUGAAGGUGCAUUUUGGGGUAUUGACUGUUACUUGGC